AGCAUCCGUAGCUCGUUUUGUAAGUUUUCGGUUAAAUCCAUGCGCUUAACGUAUGGGCUGCCGGGAAUACUGCAUAACUAGGAAGUGGGAGAGGUAGACGGUACUCGGUAGGAAGGGGUAAAAUCCUUUGAUCUAUUGAUGACCACCUGUGGCGAAGGCGGUCUACCAGAACACGUUCGACGGUGAGGGAUGAAAGCUGGGGGAGCAAACCGGAUUAGAUACCCGGGUAGUCCCAGCUGUAAACUAUGCAAACUCAGUGAUGCAUUGGCUUGUGGCCAAUGCAGUGCUGCAGGGAAGCCGUUAAGUUUGCCGCCUGGGAAGUACGUACGCAAGUAUGAAACUUAAAGGAAUUGGCGGGGGAGCACAAGCC
rnacentral:rRNA from 2 species